rnacentral:rRNA from 1 species
UCGGCUUAGAGUUUGAUCCUGGCUCAGGAUGAACGCUAGCGACAGGCCUAACACAUGCAAGUCGAGGGGCAGAUGUAGCAAUACAUUGCGACCGGCGCACGGGUGAGUAACACGUAUGCAAUCUACCUUCUACAGAGAGAUAGCCCGUUGAAAGACGGAUUAAUACCUCAUAAUACAGGCUCGCAUGAGUAUUUGUUAAAGGAGCAAUCCGGUAGAAGAUGAGCAUGCGCUCCAUUAGGUAGUUGGUGAGGUAACGGCUCACCAAGCCAACGAUGGAUAGGGGAACUGAGAGGUUUAUCCCCCACACUGGUACUGAGACACGGACCAGACUCCUACGGGAGGCAGCAGUGAGGAAUAUUGGUCAAUGGACGCAAGUCUGAACCAGCCAAGUCGCGUGAAGGAUGACUGCCCUCGGGUUGUAAACUUCUUUUGUACUAGAGUAAAACAGGCUACGUGUAGCCUCUUGCAAGUAUAGUACGAAUAAGCAUCGGCUAACUCCGUGCCAGCAGCCGCGGUAAUACGGAGGAUGCGAGCGUUAUCCGGAUUUAUUGGGUUUAAAGGGUGCGUAGCGGAAGCUUAAGUCAGCGGUGAAAGUUUGAGGCUCAACCUUAAAAUUGCCGUUGAAACUGGGUUUCUUGAGUGUAAAUGAAGUAGCGGAAUUCGUAGUGUAGCGGUGAAAUGCAUAGAUAUUACGAGGAACUCCAAUU